rnacentral:rRNA from 2 species
GCUACCACUUACAGAUGGACCCGCGGCGCAUUAGCUAGUUGGUGAGGUAACGGCUCACCAAGGCAACGAUGCGUAGCCGACCUGAGAGGGUGAUCGGCCACACUGGGACUGAGACACGGCCCAGACUCCUACGGGAGGCAGCAGUAGGGAAUCUUCCGCAAUGGACGAAAGUCUGACGGAGCAACGCCGCGUGAGUGAUGAAGGUUUUCGGAUCGUAAAACUCUGUUGUUAGGGAAGAACAAGUACCGUUCGAAUAGGGCGGUACCUUGACGGUACCUAACCAGAAAGCCACGGCUAACUACGUGCCAGCAGCCGCGGUAAUACGUAGGUGGCAAGCGUUGUCCGGAAUUAUUGGGCGUAAAGCGCGCGCAGGCGGUUUCUUAAGUCUGAUGUGAAAGCCCCCGGCUCAACCGGGGAGGGUCAUUGGAAACUGGGGAACUUGAGUGCAGAAGAGGAGAGUGGAAUUCCACGUGUAGCGGUGAAAUGCGUAGAGAUGUGGAGGAACACCAGUGGCGAAGGCGACUCUCUGGUCUGUAACUGACGCUGAGGCGCGAAAGCGUGGGGAGCGAACAGGAUUAGAUACCCUGGUAGUCCACGCCGUAAACGAUGAGUGCUAAGUGUUAGA